AGUGAACGCUGGCGGUAGGCCUAACACAUGCAAGUCGAACGGCAGCACAGUAAGAGCUUGCUCUUACGGGUGGCGAGUGGCGGACGGGUGAGGAAUACAUCGGAAUCUACUUUUUCGUGGGGGAUAACGUAGGGAAACUUACGCUAAUACCGCAUCCGACCUACGGGUGAAAGCAGGGGAUCUUCGGACCUUGCGCGAUUGAAUGAGCCGCUGUCGGAUUAGCUAGUUGGCGGGGUAAAGGCCCACCAAGGCGACGAUCCGUAGCUGGUCGGAGAGGAUGAUCAGCCACACUGGAACUGAGACACGGUCCAGACUCCUACGGGAGGCAGCAGUGGGGAAUAGUGGACAAUGGGCGCAAGCCUGAUCCAGCCAUACCGCGUGGGUGAAGAAGGCCUUCGGGUUGUAAAGCCCUUUUGUUGGGAAAGAAAAGCAGCAGGUUAAUACCCCGCUGUUCUGACGGUACCCAAAGAAUAAGCACCGGCUAACUUCGUG
rnacentral:rRNA from 1 species